rnacentral:rRNA from 1 species
AUAUAGUAUGAGGUCGUAGACCCGAAACCAGGUGAUCUACCCAUGUCCAGGGUGAAGGUAAGGUAACACUUACUGGAGGCCCGAACCCACGUACGUUGAAAAGUGCGGGGAUGAGGUGUGGGUAGCGGUGAAAUUCCAAUCGAACCUGGAGAUAGCUGGUUCUCUCCGAAAUAGCUUUAGGGCUAGCCUUGAGAAAGAGUCUUGGAGGUAGAGCACUGUUUGGACGAGGGGCCCUCAUCGGGUUACCGAAUUCAGACAAACUCCGAAUGCCAAAGACUUGAUUCUCAGGAGUCAGACUGCGAGUGAUAAGAUCCGUAGUCGAGAGGGAAACAGCCCAGACCGCCAGCUAAGGUCCCCAAGUAUCCGUUAAGUGGAAAAGGAUGUGGAGUUGCUUAGACAACCAGGAUGUUGGCUUAGAAGCAGCCACCAUUUAAAGAGUGCGUAAUAGCUCACUGGUCGAGUGACUCUGCGCCGAAAAUGUAUCGGGGCUAAACGGAUCACCGAAGCUGCGGACUGACACCGUAGGUGUCAGUGGUAGGAGAGCGUUCCAAGGGCUGUGAAGCCAGACCGGAAGGACUGGUGGAGCGCUUGGAAGUGAGAAUGCCGGUAUGAGUAGCGAAAGAAGGGUGAGAAUCCCUUCCACCGAAUGCCUAAGGUUUCCUGAGGAAGGCUCGUCCGCUCAGGGUUAGUCGGGACCUAAGCCGAGGCUGAAAAGCGUAGGCGAUGGAUAACAGGUCGAUAUUCCUGUACCACCUCCCCGCCGUUUGAGUAAUGGGGGGACGCAGGAGGAUAGGGUAAGCGCGCUGCUGGAUAUGCGCGUCCAAGCCGUUAGGCUGAAGAGGAGGCAAAUCCUUCUCUUUAAAGCGGAGCGGUGAUGGCGAGGGAAAUAUAGUACCGAAGUUCCUGAUUCCACACUGCCAAGAAAAGCCUCUAGCGAGGCGGGAGGUGCCCGUACCGCAAACCGACACAGGUAGGCGAGGAGAGAAUCCUAAGGUGAUCGAGAGAACUCUCGUUAAGGAACUCGGCAAAAUGACCCCGUAACUUCGGGAGAAGGGGUGCUCUUUUGGGUGAAAGCCCGAGAGAGCCGCAGUGAAUAGGCCCAGGCGACUGUUUAGCAAAAACACAGGUCUCUGCGAAGCCGCAAGGCGAAGUAUAGGGGCUGACGCCUGCCCGGUGCUGGAAGGUUAAGAGGAGUGCUUAGGCGCAAGCCGAAGGUACGAAUUGAAGCCCCAGUAAACGGCGGCCGUAACUAUAACGGUCCUAAGGUAGCGAAAUUCCUUGUCGGGUAAGUUCCGACCCGCACGAAAGGCGCAACGAUCUGGGCACUGUCUCAACGAGAGACUCGGUGAAAUUAUAGUACCUGUGAAGAUGCAGGUUACCCGCGACAGGACGGAAAGACCCCGUGGAGCUUUACUGCAGCCUGAUAUGGAAUGUUGGUGCAGCUUGUACAGGAUAGGUAGGAGCCGUCGAAGCAGGAGCGCCAGCUUCUGUGGAGGCAUCGGUGGGAUACUACCCUUGCUGUACUGACAUUCUAACCCGCACCCGUGAUCCGGGUGGGAGACAGUGUCAGGCAGGCAGUUUGACUGGGGCGGUCGCCUCCUAAAGAGUAACGGAGGCGCCCAAAGGUUCCCUCAGAAUGGUUGGAAAUCAUUCGCAGAGUGUAAAGGCACAAGGGAGCUUGACUGCGAGACCUACAAGUCGAGCAGGGACGAAAGUCGGGCUUAGUGAUCCGGUGGUUCCGCAUGGAAGGGCCAUCGCUCAACGGAUAAAAGCUACCCCGGGGAUAACAGGCUUAUCUCCCCCAAGAGUUCACAUCGACGGGGAGGUUUGGCACCUCGAUGUCGGCUCAUCGCAUCCUGGGGCUGUAGUCGGUCCCAAGGGUUGGGCUGUUCGCCCAUUAAAGCGGUACGCGAGCUGGGUUCAGAACGUCGUGAGACAGUUCGGUCCCUAUCCGUCGCGGGCGCAGGAAAUUUGAGAGGAGCUGUCCUUAGUACGAGAGGACCGGGAUGGACGCACCGCUGGUGUACCAGUUGUCUCGCCAGAGGCAUAGCUGGGUAGCUAUGUGCGGAAGGGAUAAGUGCUGAAAGCAUCUAAGCAUGAAGCCCCCCUCAAGAUGAGAUUUCCCUUGGUUUAUACCAUAAGACCCCUGAAAGAUGAUCAGGUUGAUAGGUCCGAGGUGGAAGUGUGGCGACACAUGGAGCUGACGGAUACUAAUCGGUCAAGGGCUUAAUCA